rnacentral:tRNA from 1 species
UUAAUUGAAACCAAAACAUAAAGAGGUAUAUCACUGUUAAUGAUUGUAAUGAUAAAUUAUCUAUCCAAUUAAA